GAAUGUGAGAUCAACUCAGUUACAGUACCUACCACCCCAUUGGUCAUCAGGGUUGAGCUGGAUGAUCUAGCUGGCUAGGCAGAUGUCCCCUUCCUCCCUCAGUGCUUCAUGUACACCUCAUCAGAAGCUAUAUGCUUUGUAUCAGAGAACAGCCUUCCUGGAAAAAGGAAGGACGUUCCUGGGUCAAGAGUUACAGAGCAGUUGUCCUUUGCCAGAAUCUCAGGAUAAACUCUGACAAAGCAAUGAUGAAAAUGUUGGAAGUGAACAAGAAAAAGAAUAUGAACAGAGUUAGGAAGUGGGUUAUCA
rnacentral:snRNA from 1 species